rnacentral:rRNA from 1 species
GUUGCUUCGGUAACUGACCUAGCGGCGGACGGGUGAGUAAUACUUAGGAAUCUGCCUAUUAAUGGGGGACAACAUCUCGAAAGGGAUGCUAAUACCGCAUACGCCCUACGGGGGAAAGCAGGGGAUCACUUGUGACCUUGCGUUAAUAGAUGAGCCUAAGUCGGAUUAGCUAGUUGGUGGGGUAAAGGCCUACCAAGGCGACGAUCUGUAGCGGGUCUGAGAGGAUGAUCCGCCACACUGGGACUGAGACACGGCCCAGACUCCUACGGGAGGCAGCAGUGGGGAAUAUUGGACAAUGGGGGGAACCCUGAUCCAGCCAUGCCGCGUGUGUGAAGAAGGCCUUAUGGUUGUAAAGCACUUUAAGCGAGGAGGAGGCUCUCUUGGUUAAUACCCAAGAUGAGUGGACGUUACUCGCAGAAUAAGCACCGGCUAACUCUGUGCCAGCAGCCGCGGUAAUACAGAGGGUGCGAGCGUUAAUCGGAUUUACUGGGCGUAAAGCGUGCGUAGGCGGCUUUUUAAGUCGGAUGUGAAAUCCCCGAGCUUAACUUGGGAAUUGCAUUCGAUACUGGGAAGCUAGAGUAUGGGAGAGGAUGGUAGAAUUCCAGGUGUAGCGGUGAAAUGCGUAGAGAUCUGGAGGAAUACCGAUGGCGAAGGCAGCCAUCUGGCCUAAUACUGACGCUGAGGUACGAAAGCAUGGGGAGCAAACAGGAUUAGAUACCCUGGUAGUCCAUGCCGUAAACGAUGUCUACUAGCCGUUGGGGCCUUUGAGGCUUUAGUGGCGCAGCUAACGCGAUAAGUAGACCGCCUGGGGAGUACGGUCGCAAGACUAAAACUCAAAUGAAUUGACGGGGGCCCGCACAAGCGGUGGAGCAUGUGGUUUAAUUCGAUGCAACGCGAAGAACCUUACCUGGUCUUGACAUAGUAAGAACUUUCCAGAGAUGGAUUGGUGCCUUCGGGAACUUACAUACAGGUGCUGCAUGGCUGUCGUCAGCUCGUGUCGUGAGAUGUUGGGUUAAGUCCCGCAACGAGCGCAACCCUUUUCCUUAUUUGCCAGCGGGUUAAGCCGGGAACUUUAAGGAUACUGCCAGUGACAAACUGGAGGAAGGCGGGGACGACGUCAAGUCAUCAUGGCCCUUACGACCAGGGCUACACACGUGCUACAAUGGUCGGUACAAAGGGUUGCUACCUAGCGAUAGGAUGCUAAUCUCAAAAAGCCGAUCGUAGUCCGGAUUGGAGUCUGCAACUCGACUCCAUGAAGUCG